CAGGGUGUCCCAUAAGUGACACGACACAGUGACACUGGAGGUAGACCAGGCCAAGAGGACCCAAACCAACUUAACAUGACCCCAGUAAAAGUGGCACGGUUUUCAAGUUAUUGCCAAAUUAAGGUUUUUCAUGAAUUUUGACCGUUUUUAACAUUGUCAGUGCCAGUGUGCACUCGGAAAGGUCUCGAAGUUAGUUUUUUUUAUGUGUACGGCAUCAUGAAUAGUUGAUUAAGAUAACAGAAGAGGUAUUUUAUCGAUAAACAUUGUAAAAUGCAAAAAAAUACCGGUUUAAUCUUGAAUUAAAUUCACAGCGAAACAUUAAUUUCGACUUUGACCACCUCAUGUUAUGCAGAUUCAAAAAUGGUAUCAUACAUGUACCUUUCCGUAAUAAAAUAAGAAUUAUGAUCAUCUUUCGAAUGCCUCAUAAAAAUUAGGUUAAAACUAGGAAAUCUGCAAUCCGUUGCUACUUAGUAAAAAUAACGAUUUAAUGUUAAGAUAUCUCAUUCUGGAUACAGACGACAGUUCUUGCAAGACGGUUUGCUAGACUUAAUUGAAGACGCACCGCUCGCACUCAGACGGAGGAUGUGGUUCCAGCAAGAUGGCUGCCCAGCACACUACGCUCGCGACGUCCGCGACCACCUCACACGGACAUUCCCAAGAAGAUGGAUCGGCCGAUUGGGACCAGUGGCAUGGCCGCCGCGUUCCCCGGACCUGAACCCAUUGGAUUUUUUUUAUUGGGGAUGCUUAAAAGAUAAAGUUUACUCAAAACCAAUAAGGUCCCAAGAGGAACUACGGCGGCGUGUCUUCGAGGCAGCACGAAGCAUAUCCGAAAUUAAUUUAAGGAAAUUAACGAGAAAUUUUAUAAGACGGUGCCAAGCGUGCAUACGAGCCCGGGGAAAACAAUUCGAGCAUCUACUGUAA